AUCCAUUCACGAAUACCUGCUGGAAGUGUAUUGCUACAUAUUACUCUUAUGAAAUAUAACGAAGAAAUGAUUAAGAUUUACAGAAGAAUUUUGUCUGUAAGGUUAGGACAUUGGCACAAUGCAUUAUCAAGCAAAAUUCUAAAGCGGGUUAACGAAUCAAUAAACAAUGAAAAGAAGCUGUGUGACCCAAUGAAGUACUGCUACGUCACAGAGGUGCUUAAGGCCCGCUCGGCUCUUCCUCAAAAUUGUGUCUUUCCAAUCCGCGGCUAACAUAAUACGCAUAGAG
rnacentral:misc_RNA from 1 species